GUACCAAAAGCCCAAUCUGUGAAUCGACACUUGUGUUGAAUUGUGGAAUGAAGAUGAGUCCGUCCUGUUUGUAGACCAAGUCCUCUGGAAUGGGGCAGCAUAGAGGGUGACACUCCCGUAUGUCUUUGAAUAUGAGGACUCUUCAAAGAGUCGAGUUGUUUGGGAUUGCAGCUCUAAGGGGUGGUAAAUUCCACCCAAGGCUAAAUACUGGUGAGAGACCGAUAGUAUACAAGUACCGUGAGGGAAAGAUGCAAAGCCGCGCGAAAGCGCCAUCAAAGAGUACCUGAAAUUGCUGAAAAGGAAGCAAAGGAAACUAGUGUAAGCCAUCCUGCACUUCCCUGACUGCUUGCAGUUGGGGCGC
rnacentral:rRNA from 1 species